rnacentral:rRNA from 1 species
AUGCAUGAGUCGAGAGCUCAGCUUAGGACGAGAGAGCGAUCUUGCAAGGGAGGUAUGGUGGUGAAGAAGCGUCAGGAGAAAAUUGGCAAGAGAAAAUCAUGUACGCAGGUGCCACGUGGUGAGAGGAAGGCUCUGCUAAAUCGUCGUAAUGCAAGCUUUGCAAGUAGGGUGAAGACCCCAACUGCUAGGACCAUCUUCGUACCGAAAUUGAGCUCAACGGGACAACCAACCAUACUUGAAGCACAUGGUGCCUCAACCUCAUCUACCACGCCCAGGAGUAAAGACAACAUGGACGCUUACCUUAGUGGUCUCAUGAAUGAUAAUGCCAACCCUGACAACCUCUUCGACGAUGAGUAUUACCUAUUUGUUGGUGAAGGCUCGGUUGCUGAUGACAUGGAGCACGACGAAUUGGAAGACUCAAGUCACAAUACCUAUGUCGACCAUGAUCCCUUGGACUAUGUGUACUCGAACCUCCCCGACAGUACACACAUCCUCAAGCACGCCGCGAACUGCAACCGCUGCAAGGCCAAGAAGUUUGUGUCCGAGGCCCCGGGAUUUUGCUAUCGCAAUGGGCAGAUCGAGCUGAAGCAACCGGAGCCCAUCCCAGAGCUAAUGAUGCAUUGGUCUAGCCAGGAUGCGUACUCUAGGCAUUUUCGGGAGAACAUACGGUUCUUCAAUGGCCACUUCUCCUUCACAACGCUCGGCGUCAGCCUGGAUGAAAGCUACACAAAUAUGAAGUCUGGGGUGUACACCUUCCGGGCGCACAACACCAUCUACCACAACGUUCAUUCCUUCGGGACAACAUCCCGUCUAGAGCAUCUACAGUUGUACUUCUACGACGACGACCCAGGCCUAACCCAUCGCCAGCCUGCCACCAAGCAAUUAGAUCAGAAUGUCGUCAGAAAAUUAGUGGACAUACUCAAGGAAAACCCUUACUCCCAGCAAUAUAGGAGUUUGGGUGCCCACAGGGACAACCUCGACGAUUACAGGAUAGACCUCAACACGGACCAGAGACUAGAUCAACGGAAGUAUAAUAGACCUCUAUCAUCGGAGGUCGCUGCAAUUUGGGUGGAGGGCACUAACCUAGCGAAGAGGAUCGAUCGUAGGAUUACACUUAGCGGGAAUGACAACCAGAGGCACAGUAUACAUGUGACGGCUGGCUCGUAUGACCCUCUCCCUUACCACUCUUCUACCCAAGGGGGGAGCUCGGUUGGCACCCGAAACUUCCUAAACGUGAUGUCCCUUGGCCGGUUGUGCAACAACCAAGAGGUAGAGGUGAUGAUGAUGAGGAUGAGGAUGCAGGUAAGCCUUAUGCGUAUUUUGUCGUUGAGAUGA